CUAGAUUUCUAGGGGUUUCUUUUACGGAGCACUUAACAGAACUGCAUAGGAAACUGCAUGGCUGAAGCAGAUGUUCUACUUCACUCACACAAAAGCAGCAGAUCCAACUCAGCAGAUCCUGCAUUUUCAUCAGAGGAGAGGAGUCCAGGAAACCCUACCCCUCACCGAAUAGCAGGGCUUCCUGUGUAAUUGGCUACGUACACCAGCUGUAACUGGGAGAUGCUAGAGAACAACUCUGCUUUGUGAUAAUGAAGAGAUUUUUCAUUUGUAUUGGUUCAAAGGCUGGAUGGAGAAGGCUGAAAUACUCAGUGGGGGGUCAGAGUGCAGAUCUGGAUCUCUGGAACUGGAGCCUUACAACUUCACUCUGUCAAGGAACAGGGGAAAAAGAUGGUUAGAGCUACAGAGCAGAUCACUGGCUGAGCUGAUGAUCACACAGAGGUAUCAUUCUGAUAAGUCUUUCACCACCUGCUGAUUGUCUUCCUUCUGCUGGGUGUUCACAGUGAGGGUCCCUGGGAAGACUCCUACAAAUCCAUCCUUGAGAAUGGCAAUUAGGGAAACCAGCCAUUUCCCAGUUCUCCGGAAGCAAACUGUUCUGCCACAUUCUCUUAAAGUACAUUCUCCUCCCAAGGCAAGCACUGAGCUCCCAUCAAGACUAAUGCACCCACAGAGAGAGAGGAGUAAAAAGAAAAAAUCUGAAUUUCAAAAAAAAUAUAUAUUACACAAUCCUGCUUAUGCAGGUGAACAUUAGUGAUCAUUUUGGUCGCCGAUAUCACAAACCGUUAUGGUGAUUUCUCUCACAUCAUGCAAAUGGCUGCAUAAUGUCUACUCCUCUUGGAAUGUAAAAUCAAAUCAGCAUUCUAAUGCUACAAGCCCAUGAUGAGCUUGGAAAUAAAUAUGCAGAAGCACAUAAAAAAAAAAAAAAU
rnacentral:lncRNA from 1 species